AAUAGGAUAAUGCAGAUAAGGGAAUUCGGCAAAUUAGAUCCGUAACUUCGGGGAAAAAGGAUUUGGCUCUGAGGAUUGGAUUCAAGGCCCAUUCAUGAAAGCUUAGCUGUCUUGGAACUGCGGAGGCAACGAAGUGGCUCCAGGAUAGCGAACGCUGGAAUGGGUGGGACGUCUUCAUCGGCUUUCCUUGAAUAAUUAACAAUUAACUCAGAACUGAAGCGGACAAGGGGAAUCCGACUGUUUAAUAAAACAUAGCAUUGUGAUGGCCUGAAAAGGUGUUGACACAAUGUGAAUUCUGCCCAGUGCUUUGAAUGUCAAAGUGAAGAAAUUCAACCAAGCGCAGGUAAACGGCGGGAGUAACUAUGACUCUCUUAAGGUAGCCAAAAUGCCUCGUCAUCUAAUUAGUGACGCGCAUGAAUGGAUCAAUGAGAUUCCCACUGUCCCUAUCUGCUACCUAGCGAACACACAGCCAAGGGAACAGGCUUGGAAUAAUCAGCG
rnacentral:rRNA from 1 species